GGGCCGCUAGCUCAUCAGGUAGAGCAUCUCCCUUUUAAGGAGAGGGUGGCUGGUUCGAGUCCAGCGCGGCCUACCA
rnacentral:tRNA from 1 species